UACGUAGGGUGCGAGCGUUGUCCGGAAUUAUUGGGCGUAAAGAGCUCGUAGGCGGUCUGUCGCGUCGGUCGUGAAAACUUGGGGCUUAACCCUGAGCUUGCGGUCGAUACGGGCAUGACUGGAGUUCGGCAGGGGAGACUGGAAUUCCUGGUGUAGCGGUGAAAUGCGCAGAUAUCAGAAGGAACACCGGUGGCGAAGGCGGGUCUCUGGGCCGAUACUGACGCUGAGGAGCGAAAGCGUGGGGAGCGAACAGG
rnacentral:rRNA from 1 species